UCCCUGGUGGUGAAGUGGUUAACGCUCUGACCUCCCAAGGCAGGAGGUACAGGUUCGAUCACUGGUCAGGGAA
rnacentral:tRNA from 1 species